UCCGUAGGCGGUUUGUUAAGUCUCCUGUGAAAGUUCAAGGCUCAACCUUGAAAUGUCGGGGGAUACUGGCAAACUUGAGACUGUCAGAGGCAAGUGGAAUUCCCGGUGUAGUGGUGAAAUGCGUAGAUAUCGGGAGGAACACCAGUGGCGAAAGCGGCUUGCUGGGACAGUUCUGACGCUGAGGGACGAAAGCGUGGGUAGCAAACAGGAUUAGAUACCCUGGUAGUCC
rnacentral:rRNA from 1 species